CACGUAGUUGGCCGGUGCUUCUUCCCCUCGUACCGUCACUUGCGCUUCGUCCGAGGUGAAAGAGGUUUACAACCCGAAGGCCGUCAUCCCUCACGCGGCGUUGCUGGAUCAGGCUUCCGCCCAUUGUCCAAUAUUCCCCA
rnacentral:rRNA from 1 species